UACCACCAGUUCCUGUACGAUCACCAAAAUUAAGCAACAUCAAGCCUGGUCAAUACUUAGAUGGGUGACCACUUGAGAAUACCUGGUGUUGUAAG